rnacentral:lncRNA from 1 species
GCUGAUUUAUUAUGAUCUUACAAUUAUGAUAUAGGAAAGAUUACAUAGACGAUUCGACAACCGACAAUACUACCUGCCUUAUGAAGACCUACGCCUAACUGCAUCACCUGAGCCGUCCUAUGAAAAUCUACGCUUGACUAGAUUUACUUGCACCAUGUUGAAGAUCUCUUGCAAGUCAUUCCUCUUUAGUCUGUAUAAUUGUUUAAUAAACCGCUCUCUCCGGGACUUGAAACUUGGAUUUCCUGUAAUCUGCAAUAAAUUGCAUAGUCUGGGAUUCGAACCCCAGACCUGGGUGUAGAAGCCUUUAAACCUUAACCAAUAGGCUACGGUGCUUCCACACGGGAAAUUACAUUAAGAUUUAAAAAUAUAUAUUAAAAUUUUAAAUAUAGAUAUUACGUAAAUAGAAAGUAUAACAAAUGGAAAUAUACAAUUUAAAAAAUUGGAAAACGUACAUUAAGAUUUAAACAUCUAUCUUAAAAUAUAAAAUAGAGAUAUUAAGUAAAUGAAAAGUACAAGAAAUGGAAAUACAUAUACAGGAAAAUAAAUAAUAAGUAAAUAAUGUAAAUAUAUAAUAUAUGAAUUAUAUAUGUAAUAAUAAGUAAAUACACAAUUUUUAAAAAAUGGAAAAAGUUCAUCAAGCAUUAAACAUCUAUCUUAAAAUGUAAAAUAUAUAAUAUAAGUAAAUACACAAUUUAAAAAAUGAAAAAAGUACAUUAAUAUUUAAAUAUCUAUUUUAAAAUACAAAAUAUAGAUAUUACGUAAAUAAAAAUAUAAGAAAUGAAAAUAAACAUUUUAAAAAAUGGAAAAAGUACAUUAAAAUUUAAGCAUCUAUCUUAAAAUGUACUUAUAUCUUAAAAUGGUAGUAAAUUAUAUAAAAAUGCAAAUACCACCUUAAAAAAAAUGUAUAGUUUUACAUCAAGAAAGUCCCUAUAAAACUCAUUAUUCCAUCCACAUCAACCUCACACUAUUAAGGAAAAUUUCAAAGCACUCGAGCAAAAAAAUGGUUUCACCAUCAACUCUUGCCGUCCCAGAAACCUUUAAUGACCUUGACUGAGAUUUUUUUAUAACAACAAACUUUUUGUUAGGUGGAUUCAUUGUUGGGAAACCCGCAACUUCCAAAAGCCGAACUUAUUCAUGGGAAUUGAAUUGCUUUUCAUAGACUCAAAGGUAUUCUUACAAAUUUAAAUUAAUCGAAUCCAUAAUUUUAUUAUUAAUAUUCAUACUAACUCUCUCAUGACCAAAC